rnacentral:rRNA from 1 species
UGCAUAUCAAUAAGCGGAGGAAAAGAAACUAACAAGGAUUCCCCUAGUAACGGCGAGUGAAGCGGGAAGAGCUCAAAUUUGAAAUCUGGCAGUCUUCGAUUGUCCGAGUUGUAAUCUAUAGAGGCGUUUUCCGUGCCGGACCGUGUCCAAGUCUCCUGGAAAGGAGUAUCAAAGAGGGUGAUAAUCCCGUACUUAACACGACCACCGGUGCUCUGUGAUACGUCUUCUACGAGUCGAGUUGUUUGGGAAUGCAGCUCAAAAUGGGUGGUGAAUUCCAUCUAAAGCUAAAUAUUGGCGAGAGACCGAUAGCGAACAAGUACCGUGAGGGAAAGAUGAAAAGCACUUUGGAAAGAGAGUUAAACAGUACGUGAAAUUGUUGAAAGGGAAACGAUUGAAGUCAGUCGUGUUCUUUGGAUUCAGCCAGUUCUGCUGGUCUACUUCCUUGGAACGGGUCAACAUCAGUUUUGUCCGGUGGAUAAAGGUAGUAGGAAUGUGACUUCUCCGGAAGUGUUAUAGCCUAUUAUCACAUACACUGGGUGAGACUGAGGACUGCAGCUCGCCUUUAUGGCCGGCCUUCGGGCACGUUCGAGCUUAGGAUGUUGACAUAAUGGCUUUAAACGACCCGUCUUGAA